rnacentral:rRNA from 1 species
UACGGAGGGUGCAAGCGUUAAUCGGAAUUACUGGGCGUAAAGCGUACGUAGGCGGCUUGUUAAGCAAGAUGUGAAAUCCCCGGGCUCAACCUGGGAAUGGCAUUUUGAACUGGCAGGCUCGAGUUCUGAAGAGGGUGGUAGAAUUUCCAGUGUAGCGGUGAAAUGCGUAGAUAUUGGAAGGAAUACCGGUGGCGAAGGCGGCCAUCUGGCUGGUAACUGACGCUGAGGUGCGAGAGCGUGGGGAGCAAACAGG